rnacentral:rRNA from 1 species
GAAUAAGCACCGGCUAACUACGUGCCAGCAGCCGCGGUAAUACGUAGGGUGCGAGCGUUAAUCGGAAUUACUGGGCGUAAAGCGAGCGCAGACGGUUAGUUAAGCAAGAUGUGAAAUCCCCGAGCUCAACUUGGGAACUGCGUUUUGAACUGGCUAGCUAGAGUGUGUCAGAGGGGGGUAGAAUUCCACGUGUAGCAGUGAAAUGCGUAGAGAUGUGGAGGAAUACCGAUGGCGAAGGCAGCCCCCUGGGGUAACACUGACGUUCAUGCUCGAAAGCGUGGGUAGCAAACAGGAUUAGAUACCCUGGUAGUCCACGCCCUAAACGAUGUCAAUUAGCUGUUGGGCAACUUGAUUGCUUAGUAGC